rnacentral:rRNA from 15 species
UGGUUCGUUCAUACCUAGGCUAUUGCGCCGGAUCCCAUCAGACCUCCGAAGCUAAAGGCCUGUGGGCGAGAAUAGUACUGGAAUGGGUGACCUUCCGGGAAGUCCUCGUGACGAACCCA